rnacentral:lncRNA from 10 species
GUUUUCUCGUUAAAGAAAUAAAAUAAACAGAUGUCCUUAAGCACUUUGGCUUGUGUUUGUCACAGGAUGGAAAGCUCUAGCUGUAUGAACGGCAGAAAUGAAUUACAGCUACAUUUCAAGUUUGUAAAGCAGUAACAGACAGGCCAAGCCGCCUAUCGCCAACUGGAUCUGAUUGAAUCCCUACAGUCCUGUGCUGGGUUCUGGAUUCCGGAAUCCAAGCCGGAAUCACGUAAUAACACCCGCGGAGGAAUCGGGGAGGACUGUGGUGGAACGGAGAGGGCAGAGGAGCCGGUCGAGGAGCUGUGGAGAUCAGGUCAUGCUCUCUCGACCUGGCCUCUGGAUCUGCAAGAAAAGCCAACACCAGCAGACACUUGGUCAGCGGGCACUGCUCCAGGCAGUGGGAUUAUGUCCUGGUUCUCACAGCACUUCAACGCUAGUGAGAGGAGACAGUCAUCAGACACAUCGACAAGGUCAGCUGAAGAAUGGACAGCUGAACAAACUACAGCGUGAGGGCAGCCACAGAGUGCCUGCAGUGAGAAAUCCAUCCUGUGCCAGAGAGGACCCAGGAAGAAGGGGGCACGUGGCCCCUGAAGUCUUGUGCCACAAGUUGUGGUCUCUGGAGGGUUUUGACAAACAGACCCAGCUUGGUGCUGGAAUGUGAAACACUGACCUCUUUCUUCCUUCUGGCUGAUACAAUGCCCAGUGAGGGAAGGCAAAGAUGAGAUGAAAAAAACAUCCUCUUAAGGUGAUGGUGGCAGGUCUCCUGGAGGGUCCCCUAAUAUUGAUUCACCCCUUCUCUCUCAUAUUAAUAGAAUCUGUUUCUAAGCUGAGCACAUGGCUGAUUAGAAUAAAAACUACAAUUCCCAGAUUCCCUAUGGCUAAAUGUGGCCACAUGAUGAGUUCUAGGCAAAGGGAUAGGAGUAAAUUUUGAAGGGCAGUGGCAGCUUCUCUUUCUCCAUGGAAUGGGGCCAUCUUGGAUAUGCAGCUGAGCAACAGGACAUGAGGAGCUUGGACCCCCAUCACGUUUGCAGACUAGAAUGGCCACAUUAGUUAGGACUUUUAGGUGAGAGAGAAAUACCCUUCUUUCUUGUUGAAGACAUUGCUAUUUUGAGUCUCUGUCAAAGGCAGAGAACUGCUACCAUUUUUGGUUGAUUGGUUUUCUUGGGUUUUAAGUAAAAGUAGCCUCCAGUGCCUGACUCAGUAAAAUAAUUUUUUUUUUUUGAGACAAGGUCUCACUCUGUUGCCCAGGCUGGAGUGCAGUGGCAUGAUCACAGCUCACUGCAGUCUUGACCUCCCAGACUCUGGUGACCCUCCUACCUUAGCCUCCUGAGUAGCUGAGACUACAGGAGCAUGCCACCACAUCUGGCUAAUUUUUUGUAGAGAUGGAGUUUUGCCAUGUUGCCAAAGCUGGUGUUGAACUCCUGGGCUCAAGCAAUCUGCCCACCUUGGCCUCCCUAAAUGCUCAGAUUACAGGUGUAAGUCACCAUGCCCAGCCAGCAAAACAAUUUUUAAGUGGAUAUUCAUUCAAUCAUUAAUUUGUUCAUUCAUUCCCUCAGGCAUUCAACAAUUCAUUUCCUAGUGAUGUACCAAAUAUCACCGUGUGGCAGACACUGUUUUAGAUAUGGUGUUGACACUGACAUUCAGGUAAGAGAGACAGACAACAAUCAAAUGAACAGAUACAUAAGGAAGUGAGAUAAUUCCAGACAGACAAAGACGCAGUGAUGCUUCUGCACAGCACUACUGAGGUGUGAACUGCAGAUUGGUGCCUGCUCACAAACCGUUUAUUACCAGUCUAUGAUGAGAUAAAUAGAGAAAUUGAAAGCCACUGUGUUUAUUACCAGUCUGAGAUAAAUAGAGAAAUUUAAACCUCCA